UUUUUUUAUAAUAUUAUUAAACAAGGUGUUUACAUUUAAUCCUGUAUUCCAUUAACAGUAAACACAAUCAAUAACAACCUGCACAUCUUUCUUCAACACGGUUAGCUGUGAAAGUCCAUACUUUAUCAAUCAUUGUCAGCACAGAAGGUAAACAUUAUCUCAAUUAACUUUUUUGAUAUUCACAAAACCAUGCUAAAAUUUAC
rnacentral:lncRNA from 1 species